UACGGGGGAGCAAGCGUUGUUCGGAUUUACUGGGCGUAAAGGGCGCGUAGGCGGCCACCGCAAGUCGACUGUGAAAUCUCCGGCUUAACCCGGAAAGGUCAGCCGAUACUGCGGGGCUAGAGUGCAGAAGGGGCAACUGGAAUUCUCGGUGUAGCGGUGAAAUGCGUAGAUAUCUGCAGGAACACCCGUGGCGAAAGCGGGCGCGCUGGACCACUACUGACGCUGAGGAACGAAAGCUAGGGGAGCAAACAGG
rnacentral:rRNA from 1 species